UACGGAGGGUGCGAGCGUUGUCCGGAAUCAUUGGGCGUAAAGGGCGUGCAGGCGGUCUGUUAAGUCUAGGGUGAAAGCUCCCGGCUCAACUGGGAGAGGUCCUUGGAUACUGGCGGACUUGAGGGAGGCAGAGGAAAGUGGAAUUCCCGGUGUAGUGGUGAUAUGCGUAGAUAUCGGGAGGAACACCAGUGGCGAAGGCGGCUUUCUGGGCCUUACCUGGCGCUGAGACGCGAAAGCGUGGGGAGCGAACCGG
rnacentral:rRNA from 1 species